GAUGAAGAACGCAGUGAAAUGCGAUAAGUAGUGUGAAUUGCAGAAUUCAGUGAAUCAUCGAAUCUUUGAACGCACAUUGCGCCCUUUGGUAUUCCUUAGGGCAUGCCUGUUCGAGCGUCAUUUAAACCUUCAAGCUCAGCUUGGUGUUGGGUGACUGUCCGCUUCACCGCGGACUCGCCUCAAAAUUAUUGGCGGCCGGUACAUUGGCUUCGAGCGCAGCAGAAACGCGAACUCGGGCCCGUCGUAUUGGCUCCCAGAAGCUAUCUUCACAAUUUUGACCUCGGAUCAGGUAGGGAUACCCGCUGAACUUAAGCAUAUCAAUAAGGGAGA
rnacentral:misc_RNA from 1 species